ACCUGCGGCCCGCGCCCCCACACCCACCCACUCCUCCGAGGCUCCGACGGCUCCCCUCGGCCCUCCCCAUCCUCUCGCCCGGCCGCGCUCUAGCCAGCCGCGCCGCCGCCCGCCGCUCUAGCCAGCUGCGCCGCCACCCUCCACCCCUGCUCUGUCCCCCGCACGCCGCCGUUGAGGGUCGGACACGCCUCUCCCCCAUCCCGCGUCCGGCCAUCGCUCUCCGGUGUCACCGCCGCCGGAGCCGCCCUGCCCCGCAGCAGCAUCGCUCCGUCCUCCCCAGCCCUUCGCGGUCGACACACGGCGCCGCGGACAAACCUCCGCUGCACUCGCGGGCCUCCGCCCCCCCCCCCCCCCCCCCGCCGACGCCGCGGCCGGCUCCGCCUCCCUCUCGCUUGCCGACGGUGGUCGCCAACUCUCCGCGCGAGUUCGAUAUCCCACCGCGCCGGCGCUCCGCCAUCUACGCGCCGCAGGCAGAUCUUCGUGCGCGCGGGAGGCAGCACAGCUCCUCUGGACUCCCCCGCCCAUUGUUGCUGACGCUGCGGACGGAACUCCGCGUGCAGGGACACGUCCAGCCUCCCCCGCGCCUCCCAAUCGACGCACGGCGCUGCCAGCCUCGCCCUCUCACCGGCUCUCCAGGUGAUGCUGGCGGAGCCGCCGUUGAUGGCUGUUGUUUCAGCACGACCCCAUGUGUGCUCGUAGCUGAGCAACGGUGGCCGACACAACCUUUAUCCUAGGGACGAUUGGUCAAGGUGCCCAGGUUGCACACUUCUGAAAUUAAGCUCCGUCAGAUUUAAGCUUCUUUCAUUUAUCGAUGGUAUUGCAAUCCUUUUUUUGCACCUAAAAUCUCACACAUCCUCCUGUUACAAUGAAAAUCACAAAAUCCUUGUGAAUUUUGCUUCCACAAGUUUCACACAUUUGUGAAUUACUGACAUUUUGCAGUCAUACUACCUUUGGAAAUUUGCGCACCUUUGUGAUUCGCUGAAAGUUUCACACUUUUAAAGAGAGGAUAUCAACGGGAUGAAGCAGCAUCUUUGUUCUCUGAAAGUUCUGCUAGCAUUCAGAGAUCGCACUGGCACUCAAUACAAUACUUACAGUUUCACUUUUUCUGAUUGAUUUGGUAAAAUGCUUGUGACAUAAAUUGAACAUCUCCUGAUCUUCUCAUUAUGUUUUACAGAUAGUAUACUACAUUCAUGGCAAAUCUAGGAGUGUCUCUGUUGUCAUCGAAUUUAUAUUGGUUGUGCUAGAGCAAAGAUAUGGUGAAUUAUAUGUUCCCUUCCAUCAGCAAGCUGCCAUUGUAGGAUCACUGUGACAUUAUAAUGUAUGCAGGCAGCAGAUGUGAAUUACGUGAGUUCGGUUGUAGACCAUCAGCCUGUAGAUUAUGUAAUUUGUUUUAGUUGAGAUACUAAAAUGACUAGCACUAUAUUUCAAAAGAAAAAGGGCUAAUUCUUCUUUUGGUGGGUACCGGGAAGUACUGCUAAGUCUUCUUUUGCUAGGUGCCAGGAAGUAUCAUUCUUGUAAAUUUAUUUGAGUUUCUUGAUUAUAGUUCUCUCAACUUUGCCUGCACAUGAUGGUUAAUUGUUCAACCGUUCACAUGUUGAUUGAUUAUUUGACCAUGCAUUUUUCAAUGGUCCUGUUGACAGAAUUGACAUGAUUUAGAUUUGUCUUCAAGAUCCCGUUUGAAUGAUAUUAGGGUUCCCUUGUUUACUCCUUACUUUUCUUAUAUGCAUUCAGCAUAUUUGAAAACCAUUUGGAUCAGUAAUGGCCUAUGGACAGUAGAGUACUGGGGACUUAUAAUUAUGACUAUUUAAACUUGAAUUGUUUGCGUUCUUUCCAGUUAGACUACGGACAACACCAUGGAACCCUGAAUUUUGUUGCUCUGGAGUCUGGAAAAUCAUAGAGCUUCACCUUUCGUUGCUUUGCCGUAUCUCUCUUAUUUUCUUUUUCCCGCUGUCAGGAAGAGCUGUCUACUUUUUUGUGAAAUCGAAAGUUUUCUAAAAGUUCAUGUUCUUGGUUUGCUCAUCCAGAUCUAGGGCAAAGGCCAACAAGGAAAACAACAAAGAGGCUUUGGUGAAAUUUCACUACAAGGGCAUGGGUGUGGUUAGAGACAUGCUCGCACUAUUUUGAUGUUUGUUUCUAUAAAAAAUGAUGAUGUUUCUGUUGGGAGGAGAAUUCGUCAGCAAUUCAUUCAAACAUAGGAGAUUGAUACAAGUACAAUAACAUUGGGAAAAAAUAUGAUCUGUGUGGCCCAAUUUAUUGAACAAGUUCAACCAAGUUUAUGUUGUACUUAUGAUUUAGACAAUAUGUAUAUUGUCUUCUUACUAUA